UACGGAGGGUGCAAGCGUUAUCCGGAUUCACUGGGUUUAAAGGGUGCGUAGGUGGGCAAGUAAGUCAGUGGUGAAAUCUCCGGGCUUAACCCGGAAACUGUCAUUGAUACUAUUUGUCUUGAAUACUGUGGAGGUCAGCGGAAUAUGUCAUGUAGCGGUGAAAUGCUUAGAUAUGACAUAGAACACCAAUUGCGAAGGCAGCUGGCUACACAAAUAUUGACACUGAGGCACGAAAGCGUGGGGAUCAAACAGG
rnacentral:rRNA from 1 species